rnacentral:rRNA from 1 species
AUUGAACGCUGGCGGCAGGCCUAACACAUGCAAGUCGAGCGAGCGGCGGACGGGUGAGUAAUGUAUGGGGAUCUUCCCGAUAGAGGGGGUUAACUACUGGAAACGGUGGCUAAUUCCGCCUUAUUUCGGAUGAAUCCAAGUGGGCUUGGCUAGUGGGUGGGGUAAAGGCUAACCUGGGCGACGAUCCGUAGCUGGCCUGAGAGGAUGAUCAGCCACACUGGAACUGAGACACGGCCCAGACUCCUACGGGAGGCAGCAGGGGGGAAUAUUGCACAAUGGGCGCAAGCCUGAUGCAGCCAUGCCGCGUGUAUGAAGAAGGCCUUAGGGUUGUAAAGUACUUUCAGCGGGGAGGCGUUACCCACAGAAGAAGCACCGGCUAACUCCGUGCCAGCAGCCGCGGUAAUUC